UACCGCAUCGUGCAAGAUGCUGCCGCAUAGGCUGGUCGCGACGUCCCCGCAUAUUCGACGCGUAGGGCUGGGAGCCGUGCAUCCUCACACGUUCAGGAAGCGGGCUCCACCAGGGGCCCGUUUCUUUUUGUGGGAG
rnacentral:tRNA from 1 species